GUAAACAACCCACCACCAAUUAUUGCUAAGAGCAAUAUGGUGGGGGCUUUUAAAGCCCAAAGUUUACCCGACUAAGUGUUAAAUCACUACGAUUUUUAGGUCAUCCUACCUGCAAAUGCGUAGCCAGUUUGUAGCUCUAGG
rnacentral:sRNA from 18 species